UAUAAUUGACAAAAGUAUUUCAAAGGCACCUAGGGGGGUACUCCUAUGGUGGGUUUGAAAACCAUAUUAUGACACUUAUCAUAAAAUUUCUCUUGUUCCACAAAUCCGCUUUCACAAACCCAUUUUCCAAAUCUUUUCUCAACUUCCCAAAAUUAGUUCUUACAUGGGUAGCCAAAAUCCUUUCUCAACCAUAAAGCUCAUAAAGAUACAAAAUAUUCACAAACCUCAUUAUCAAAUUAAA
rnacentral:lncRNA from 1 species